UACGGAGGGGGCAAGCGUUGUUCGGAAUUACUGGGCGUAAAGGGCGCGUAGGCGGCCUGUGCAAGUAAGAGGUGAAACCCCCGGGCUCAACCUGGGAAUUGCCUUUAAAACUGCUAGGCUUGAGUCCGGAAGAGGAGGGUGGAAUUCCCAGUGUAGCGGUGAAAUGCGUAGAUAUUGGGAAGAACACCAGUGGCGAAGGCGGCCACCUGGUCCGGAACUGACGCUGAGGUGCGAAAGCGUGGGGAGCAAACAGG
rnacentral:rRNA from 1 species